UGUGGAUCCUCUAACCUGUGUGGCAGAUGACUCGGACCGUAUCGGGGAGCGGAGUCUAAGGUGCCGCUGGCCUCCACCAGAGCCCACCGCAAGGCAGGAUGGAUUUGCUGCGGCAGGUGACACCCAGGUCGCUACCCCCGACACGGCUCGACCACACAGGUAAUGGACAAGGCGAGGUACAGAAGGAUGAGGCAGACUCUAACGUAGCAGAAGGUCAAGGCAGGCGGCAAAGAGCUCCAGCACGCGCGGAGCUGAGACACAGAGGAGGAGGCGGCGGCAGCGGAGCGAGAAAUACUUCCCACCUCCGGCAUGUGUAAAAGUUUGUUUAAUAUGUGGAAAAUUAGGCCAACAACCAGUAUCGGAGCUGCUAAAAGGGAAAUGCAAGUAGAAUACCAGUUUUCGGUCGUCCCUCAUAGCACGUACUAGCAUUCUUUUCAGAAAGUACCACAGGACCAUAGAAAAUUGUGUUAAAAGUAGAUGUAAAAUAAUUAAAAGUAAUUGCAUUUCAUCAUGUUGACCUCUUUCUUCAAACAGAAGAUUGUCCAAAUAGGGUUCAAAAACCAGAAGAAUUUUUCUGUCUUUAACCUUUUUCCUUCUGCGUUGCUUACAAGUGAAGGCGUUGCGAAUCCAGAUUUCGCUCUGGAGAGUCUUGGCUGUUUCUCCUAAAGGUUUGGCUCAUCUGUCGCCUCUGUGUCAUCCCUAAAAGGUUCUUACAAUGUGGACGAGCACAGGGGAGGCUUCAUCACCGAUCGGCGACAGUGGUGCUACCCCUUUAAGAGCGAUGGAUAAAAACAAAAUACAAAACCGAUGCUUGAAAUACUUGUUGAGAUGGAUUACUAGUGAGUGUUGCUUUAAACGGGUUAUCCAAGAUUAGAAAAACAGAGCAGAUUUCUUUAAAAAAAAAAAAAACAGCACCACCCCUGUCCUCAGGUUGUAUGUGGUAUUGCAGCUCAGUUCUAUUAAAGGGGUACUUCGGUCCUACGACAUCUUAAGCGCAAUCUUCCAUUCGGCACCCACAUCUU